CCCGCGCCCCACUUCAUCGCGGCCCGCUAGGAACCCAGAUCGGGCCCUGGGAAGCCCAUCUGGGCCCGGCUCCCGCUCCAGCCCGCACCCGAGCCGCUCCUCCUCGGUCCCGAUCUGGAUCGAGGGAGCGAGGAGCUCCUGCCCCGCCUCGCCGGACCUCCCCUGCCCGUCACCGGCGAACUCACCGCCGGAGCGUCCCCGCCGUCUUCGCGCUCGUCGCCGGGUCGCUGCCCCAUCGCAGGAGUUACCCAGGCCGCCGUCGCUGGGCGCCUCGUCGCCGGCCCCUCCGACGCCAGAUCGGCGGUCCUCAGGCCCGGAUCUGCCUGUUCCCGCCGCCCCGCGCCUCCUCUGGCCUCUCCGGCCGUCGUCGGCCCAAGUCCGGCGAGCCCCGACCUCGCCUCGUCCUCACAGGGGUCGGGCACGAGCCCUCCCGCGUAGACCUCGCGCAUUGACCGCCGCCUCCCGCGUGGGCCUCGCUCUGGCCCAGGCCACGUCCCGGCCUGGUCCACCUCCUCUGCCUGCCCAAGCCUCUCCACCGACUGGGCCUAGCCCAUGUUCCGGUAACGUUGCGUUCAUGAGGAUUCAUUCGACUA